rnacentral:rRNA from 1 species
AGAGUUUGAUCCUGGCUCAGGAUGAACGCUGGCGGCGUGCCUAACACAUGCAAGUCGAGCGAAGCGCUGUUUUCAGAAUCUUCGGAGGAAGAGGACAGUGACUGAGCGGCGGACGGGUGAGUAACGCGUGGGCAACCUGCCUCAUACAGGGGGAUAACAGUUAGAAAUGACUGCUAAUACCGCAUAAGCGCACAGGACCGCAUGGUGUAGUGUGAAAAACUCCGGUGGUAUGAGAUGGACCCGCGUCUGAUUAGGUAGUUGGUGGGGUAAAGGCCUACCAAGCCGACGAUCAGUAGCCGACCUGAGAGGGUGACCGGCCACAUUGGGACUGAGACACGGCCCAAACUCCUACGGGAGGCAGCAGUGGGGAAUAUUGCACAAUGGGGGAAACCCUGAUGCAGCGACGCCGCGUGAAGGAAGAAGUAUUUCGGUAUGUAAACUUCUAUCAGCAGGGAAGAAAAUGACGGUACCUGAGUAAGAAGCACCGGCUAAAUACGUGCCAGCAGCCGCGGUAAUACGUAUGGUGCAAGCGUUAUCCGGAUUUACUGGGUGUAAAGGGAGCGUAGACGGAUAGGCAAGUCUGGAGUGAAAACCCAGGGCUCAACCCUGGGACUGCUUUGGAAACUGCAGAUCUGGAGUGCCGGAGAGGUAAGCGGAAUUCCUAGUGUAGCGGUGAAAUGCGUAGAUAUUAGGAGGAACACCAGUGGCGAAGGCGGCUUACUGGACGGUGACUGACGUUGAGGCUCGAAAGCGUGGGGAGCAAACAGGAUUAGAUACCCUGGUAGUCCACGCCGUAAACGAUGACCUACUAGGGGUCGGUGUGGCAAGCACAUC